rnacentral:rRNA from 1 species
GAUGAACGCUAGCGGCAGGCCUAAUACAUGCAAGUCGAGGGGUAGAGAGAGCUUGCUCUCUUGAGACCGGCGCACGGGUGCGUAACGCGUAUGCAACCUACCUUUAUCUGGGGGAUAGCCCGAAGAAAUUCGGAUUAACACCGCAUAAAAUCACAGAACGGCAUCGUUCAAUGAUCAAAUAUUCAUAGGAUAGAGAUGGGCAUGCGUGCCAUUAGUUAGUUGGCGGGGUAACGGCCCACCAAGACCGCGAUGGCUAGGGGAUCUGAGCGGAUGGCCCCCCACACUGGUACUGAGACACGGACCAGACUCCUACGGGAGGCAGCAGUAAGGAAUAGUGGUCAAUGGAGGCAACUCUGAACCAGCCAUGCCGCGUGCAGGAAGACAGCCCUCUGGGUCGUAAACUGCUUCUAUUCGGGAAUAAACCUGCUUACGUGUAAGUAGCUGAAUGUACCGAAGGAAUAAGGAUCGGCUAACUCCGUGCCAGCCGCCGCCGUAAUAC